UAAGUAACAUAAUGGGACGAUACGAGGC
rnacentral:piRNA from 1 species